GGGCUUUCCUCUUACCUGGUGUCAUAGAUGGCGAACAACUUCUUGUUUCCGUCAACAGCAUUCCUGAAAGAAGAGGAGCUGUCCGCCAGCCGUGGUGCUGAACUCGGUCUCUCAUGUGGGUUCACUUGUUUUCUUUGCCAUCCGCAACUCGGGACGGGUUAAAGCACGCGGACGGAGGUUAAACGUCAUUCACUAAUUACUAAACGUGGAGCUCGGCUACCCUCUUACGGCAGACGUCAGGAUGAUAAGUGUGUCCCUGGAUAGUGGUGUGUGGAAAUUAAAGCGAUGGGAAAAUUUG